rnacentral:misc_RNA from 1 species
UUACAAUUCCACAAGUCACAAUUCUCAGGCAGAAAGAGAGCUAACUUCACCUAAGAAAACACGUUAAAUCGGGCUUUAGAAUCGAGAAGAUCAAGCCUUGCAGACGAUGAGUUGAAGGCUUGAACGCUCGAGUGAAGUAAUUCUACUAUCAUAUAACUAAAAAACAACAUUCUAUUGACUAGAAAGAAACGAAGAAGAAAAUAAAACGCGAGUGACAUAUGUCAAGCUUUUGUUAUGUAUAGCUGAAGUUAACUUAAUCUAUGAACAGUUAGGAUGGAUGAAGUUGGUUAUCUCCUCCAUGAGGCAAGGAAAAUGAUCGUUGUUUGGCAAGAAAUAGAAACCGAUUGUUGCCUGUUUUAGAUACAAGAGAUUUACCUCAUGCCCCGAGUUCUUCAAACCAUCGACAUAUGCCAAUUGCCAAUCCUGACUAAGAUCCAAACCAGCCACCACUACUAGACUCUUUGGAAACUUUAGUCCUUUGAGGCUUCUACUCCUCGAGCCAAAUAUGUUACAUGCCGGAUGAUCUCUAUCUUCCCCUUCCGGUAGAUAGGCCCUCCAGUACCAAUCUCUGUCUUGUACGGUAACAAAGUAUUUCCCGUCUAAUCUCUUCUCAGAUUCUGUCCUGUUUUGCCCACCAAACAUUGGAUGAAGAUGUAUAUUACCUAAUACUUCGACACCUGCUUCAGCAGCCCUUACAGCAACGUGGUGAGCAAUAUUACCACCUGAACUAUCGCCAGCCAUAUAGACGUGGACUUUCGAGUCCUUCCCACUUUGAAGCCAUGUCCUUGAUUUUACCCAUUUUAG